GGGUGGGAUGAGUAUUCUAAGGCGCGUGGAAGAACUCUCUUUAAGGAACUCUGCAAAAUAGCACCGUAUCUUCGGUAUAAGGUGUGGUUAGCUUUGUAUUAGGAUUUACUCCGAAAGCAAGGAAACUUACAACAAAGAGUCCCUCCCGACUGUUUACCAAAAACACAGCACUCUGCUAACUCGUAAGAGGAUGUAUAGGGUGUGACGCCUGCCCGGUGCUCGAAGGUUAAUUGAUGGGGUUAGCAUUAGCGAAGCUCUUGAUCGAAGCCCGAGUAAACGGCGGCCGUAACUAUAACGGUCCUAAGGUAGCGAAAUUCCUUGUCGGUUAAAUACCGACCUGCAUGAAUGGCGUAACGAGAUGGGAGCUGUCUCAAAGAGGGAUCCAGUGAAAUUGUAGUGGAGGUGAAAAUUCCUCCUACCCGCGGCAAGACGGAAAGACCCCGUGGACCUUUACUACAGCUUGACACUGCUACUUGGAUAAGAAUGUGCAGGAUAGGAGGGAGGCUUUGAGUAUAUGACGCCAGUUGUAUAUGAGCCAUUGUUGAGAUACCACUCUUUCUUAUUUGGGUAGCUAACCAGCUUGAGUUAUCCUCAAGUGGGACAAUGUCUGGUGGGUAGUUUGACUGGGGCGGUCGCCUCCCAAAUAAUAACGGAGGCUUACAAAGGUUGGCUCAGAACGGUUGGAAAUCGUUCGUAGAGUAUAAAGGUAUAAGCCAGCUUAACUGCAAGACAUACAAGUCAAGCAGAGACGAAAGUCGGUCUUAGUGAUCCGGUGGUUCUGUGUGGAAGGGCCAUCGCUCAAAGGAUAAAAGGUGCCCCGGGGAUAACAGGCUGAUCUCCCCCAAGAGCUCACAUCGACGGGGAGGUUUGGCACCUCGAUGUCGGCUCAUCGCAUCCUGGGGCUGGAGCAGGUCCCAAGGGUAUGGCUGUUCGCCAUUUAAA
rnacentral:rRNA from 1 species